AAUUCCCAUUCUGCUGUGUUUGUAUAUAAAAGGACCAGUUUCCAGCUACAGUAUUCACUCAUCUUCUAAACCUACCUGUAACUGACUUCUCACAAGAAGGACACAGAUCAUCCAGUAACCGGUCAUGUCUGGAAUCAAGGGAGGAAAAUGUGGCCAGAAGAUCCAAUGUCAGGAUCCUUGCAAGGACCCAUGCCAAAGGCCACCUGUCUGUGUAGAUCCUUGUCAGGACCCAUGUAAACCUCGUCCACAGCACCAUCAUCAUUAUGGACUUCGCCAACAAGAUCCAUGCAACCCCUGUUGUCCUGAUCCUUGCCAGGGCCAAGGGAAUUUUUGCUGUGAUAAAUGAAGACAUUUCAUCUGACUUUAUGCCUUUGCAUGCCUUACUUUAUGUCACUACAAAUGAACCCUCAUUUAUCUUCUUUAAAUCUGCAUUACUAAAUUCUGCACCUGUGUGAUGCUUGCUUAUGUAUACUGUUACCCAAUAAAAUGGUAUUAACCCUA